rnacentral:rRNA from 1 species
GGGUCAGUAGGCUGGUCGUGCCACCGGUACGUACUGGUCUCACUGAUUCCUCCUUCCUGAAGAACCGUAAUGCCAUUAAUUUGGUGUUGCGGGGAAACAGGACUGUUACUUUGAAAAAAUUAGAGUGUUUAAAGCAAGCUAACGCUUGAAUACGUUAGCAUGGAAUAAUGGAAUAGGACGAUCGAUCCUAUUUUGUUGAUUUCUAGGAUUGACGUA